rnacentral:rRNA from 1 species
UGCGGGGGUAAUUGCGGUGAGGGCCCACCUCUACCCAUACCGAACAGAGAAGUUAAGCUCACCUGCGCCGAUGGUACUGCCGGAAGGUGGGAGAGUAGGAGGCCCCCGCUU